rnacentral:rRNA from 1 species
UGGGGAAUAUUGGACAAUGGGGGGAACCCUGAUCCAGCCAUGCCGCGUGUGUGAAGAAGGCCUUAUGGUUGUAAAGCACUUUAAGUUGGGAGGAAGGGCAGUAAGCGAAUACCUUGCUGUUUUGACGAUACCGACAGAAUAAGCACCGGCUAACUCUGUGCCAGCAGCCGCGGUAAUACAGAGGGUGCAAGCGUUAAUCGGAAUUACUGGGCGUAAAGCGCGCGUAGGUGGUUCGUUAAGUUGAAUGUGAAAGCCCCGGGCUCAACCUGGGAACUGCAUCCAAAACUGGCGAGCUAGAGUAGGGCAGAGGGUGGUGGAAUUUCCUGUGUAGCGGUGAAAUGCGUAGAUAUAGGAAGGAACACCAGUGGCGAAGGCGACCACCUGGGCUCAUACUGACACUGAGGUGCGAAAGCGUGGGGAGCAAACAGG